rnacentral:rRNA from 1 species
CCUACGGGUGGCAGCAGUGAGGAAUAUUGGUCAAUGGGCGCAAGCCUGAACCAGCCAAGUAGCGUGCAGGAUGACGGCCCUAUGGGUUGUAAACUUCUUUUAUACGGGAAUAAAGUGCAGUAUGUGUACUGCUUUGCAUGUACCUUAUGAAUAAGGAUCGGCUAACUCCGUGCCAGCAGCCGCGGUAAUACGGAGGAUCCGAGCGUUAUCCGGAUUUAUUGGGUUUAAAGGGAGCGUAGGCGGGUUGUUAAGCGAGUUGUGAAAGUUUGGGGCUCAACCCGAAAAUUGCAGUUGAUACUGGCAUGCUUGAGUACAGUAGAGGCAGGCGGAAUUCGUGGUGUAGCGGUGAAAUGCUUAGAUAUGACGAAGAACCCCGAUUGCGAAGGCAGCCUGCUGCACUGUAACUGACGCUGAUGCUCGAAAGUGCGGGUAUCAAACAGGAUUAGAUACCCGUGUAGUC